UUCAGAUACGUCUCAUUGACUUUUGCCCAUUGGCAUCACACAUUCUGUGAAACACAACUGGGUGGAAAUCUAUGGGACACAGAAAGAGUGUGGCUGCAAAUAACUCCAGGGUGCUUCUGAAGGCACUGUUCUCAUGAAGGCCCUCAUUCUAAGAUGCGUAAUGCCUGCUGCUGAGCCUUUCGAGCACACCCUGGCUGUAGGUGGAUGACUCCAUGCUGGAAGGUGAAGCCUGGAGCGCAGCUAAUGCUACCUCACAGCACUCUGAUCUACUGAAUGUCUCCCACUCAGAGACUGAAUUAGCUUUGUUUUGUGUCAGCCCCUCCAGGAACUGCAACAGAAAGUAGGAUGGCCACAACUGUAGUUACAUACAGGGGGCUUUCUGCCAGCUGAGAUCUCCACACUGCAAAUUGCAGCUUACCAGGAAGAGCUUGCUCCUACAUCUUAAUAAACAAACAGAAACAUUCCCUUAAGCAUGUCCUGCUAUAAACAAGCAAAGCAAGCAGCUGGUCCUCAUUUGAAAAGAUGUUACAUCAAUUUCAAAAGAAAUCUGCAGAUCUUCUUAAUGCAAAUAUUUUUGGGAAAACAAAAAGCAGCUGUUUAUGUUGCUUUAUACCUAUUAGCAGGAAAACACAAUCCAGGAUGCUUGUAUUUCUUCUUGUAAGAAAAACAUCCUCUUGGCAUCAACAUUCAUUCGGAUCUCAAAUUGUUUAAAAUAUACUAGGCUGCAUCAAUCUGCUUUUGCUCUGUCUUCAGCAAGCAGCUAGAAACCUUUUUUGUUCAUUAACUGUAAGACCUAAAAGCAAAACAGUCACCGAGGAG
rnacentral:lncRNA from 1 species